rnacentral:lncRNA from 1 species
AACUAUUUCAAUUUUUUUCUAGUGUUCAAAAUGUUAAUAAAACGCAGGAUGAUACUGAUUAUAUCAAUAAUACCAACAACAGUACUACUAGUUAUAUAGGUGGAACCAAUAGUGACAAUAUACAAAAUAAUGUUGAAGAACAGGAAAAAAGGAACAUGUUGUGCUUGGAAAAUAUAAGUGACAAUCCGGGUGUGAAAUGCAUAAGUGAUAAGUCGCACGCGCAACUAACUGAAGAAGAACAAGCAUACAACAUGGAAACCUUCAUUAAGGAAAAAAAAAGCUUAUUUGUAGAAUAUAUAAAAAAUGUAAAAAUGUUUAAGCUGGAGCAUAUAAUUAUAAGUAACACAAUAAAAAGUGACAUAUUGCAUAUAAAGAUUUUACCAUAUAAUGAAGAAGUAAUAAAAAAAACUAAAGAAAUGAGUAUAUUUCAUUGGGAUAAAGUCGAAAAUAUAUGGAUAGUAAAAAAAGUGUUUUUUAAAAUUUUUUAUUUAAACAUUAUUAAAUUUUUUGAUUAUAAAAUUUGUUCUCACUAUGAUUAUUAUAAAAUGAUGAAACAAAAGCUAAUUGAUAAUGAGUUAACAAAUUCGAAUAAAUACUCUUUCGGCUUAUGUAGCAACAAUUUAAGUAACAUAACUACAAACGUGAGAUCGAAAAUAAACAUUGAAAAAAGAAAAUGUGAUCAGUACCUUACCAACACUAGUCCCAAUACUUUUUCUAAUCAAACGAAUGUGACAAAAAAAAAAAAAAGUAGUAAAGAGAAUUUAUGCUAUGACAAUACAGACUCGUCGUAUUCCGAUGAGUUGUCGAAUCAUGUUGAUUCGAGUUAUUACGAAGGUAGAGAAUCUGUUAACAAAAUAAAAUUAACGGCUUCAUGUAAAAGUUAUUAUAAAGAUUUGUUAUAUAGCAAAUUAAGAAAAAUAAAAAAACUGAAGCCACCUAAUUAUACCUAUGACCCCAAAGGCUUAAUAACGAAAAACGGUGCAGGAACACAAGGAUUUGAAGUUUUUGAUUUACCUGCUAAUAUCGUCGAAUGGGAUGAAAUUAGUUUUUGUAUAGUACCAGAUGAAAAUAAAAAUGUCGACUUAUACGACCCCAAAAUAUUAUGUAGUUUAGUUAGUGAUGUAUAUUUACUUAAAGAAAAAGCUAUAGAUGUAAUUUUAAAAAAAUAUAGUAAAUGGCCUGAAUAUAAUGAUGUAUUUUGGAAUACUCUGUGUUCUGAAAAUGAAUUUAUUAUAGGUAAUAAAAAUUUCAAUACAAGACAAAAAUUAGCACAUGAUAGGUUGUUUCAUAAACAAUAUUUUUAU